rnacentral:rRNA from 1 species
GGAUAACCUGCCCUUGGGUCCGGCAUAACCCCGGGAAACUGGGGAUAAUUCCGGAUAACGCACAUAUGCUGGAAUGCUUUAUGCGUAAAAUGGAUUCGUCUGCCCAAGGAUGGGUCUGCGGCCUAUCAGGUAGUAGUGGGUGUAAUGUACCUACUAGCCUACAACGGGUACGGGUUGUGAGAGCAAGAGCCCGGAGAUGGAUUCUGAGACAUGAAUCCAGGCCCUACGGGGCGCAGCAGGCGCGAGAACUUUACAAUGCGGGAAACCGUGAUAAGGGGACACCGAGUGCCAGCAUCAUAUGCUGGCUGUCCAGAUGUGUAAAAUACAUCUGUUAGCAAGGGCCGGGCAAGACCGGUGCCAGCCGCCGCGGUAACACCGGCGGCCCGAGUGGUGAUCGUGAUUAUUGGGUCUAAAGGGUCCGUAGCCGGUUUGGUCAGUCCUCCGGGAAAUCUGAUGGCUCAACCAUUAGGCUUUCGGGGGAUACUGCCAGGCUUGGAACCGGGAGAGGUAAGAGGUACUACAGGGGUAGGAGUGAAAUCUUGUAAUCCCUGUGGGACCACCUGUGGCGAAGGCGUCUUACCAGAACGGGUUCGACGGUGAGGGACGAAAGCUGGGGGCACGAACCGGAUUAGAUACCCGGGUAGUCCCAGCCGUAAACGAUGCUCGCUAGGUGUCAGGCAUGGCGCGACCGUGUCUGGUGCCGCAGGGAAGCCGUGAAGCGAGCCACCUGGGAAGUACGGCCGCAAGGCUGAAACUUAA